UAACACAUGCAAGUCAUACGGUAACAGGAGUAAGCUUGCUGCUUCGCUGACGAGUGGCGGACGGGUGAGUAAUGUCUGGGAAACUGCCUGAUGGAGGGGGAUAACUACUGGAAACGGUGGCUAAUACCGCAUAACGUCGCAAGACCAAAGAGGGGGACCUUCGGGCCUCUUGCCAUCAGAUGUGCCCAGAUGGGAUUAGCUUGUUGGUGAGGUAACGGCUCACCAAGGCGACGAUCCCUAGCUGGUCUGAGAGGAUGACCAGCCACACUGGAACUGAGACACGGUCCAGACUCCUACGGGAGGCAGCAGUGGGGAAUAUUGCACAAUGGGCGCAAGCCUGAUGCAGCCAUGCCGCGUGUAUGAAGAAGGCCUUCGGGUUGUAAAGUACUUUCAGCGGGGAGGAAGGUGUUGUGGUUAAUAACCGCAGCAAUUGACGUUACCCGCAGAAGAAGCACCGGCUAACUCCGUGCCAGCAGCCGCGGUAAUACGGAGGGUGCAAGCGUUAAUCGGAAUUACUGGGCGUAAAGCGCACGCAGGCGGUCUGUCAAGUCGGAUGUGAAAUCCCCGGGCUCAACCUGGGAACUGCAUUCGAAACUGGCAGGCUUGAGUCUUGUAGAGGGG
rnacentral:rRNA from 1 species